GUGGGGAGGAGUGGAGACAGUGAGAAAGGAAGCUGAGGAGAUGGGGGAGGAGGUGACCAAGAAAGGAAGUGGGGGGAGGGUAAAGGGGAAAAUGGGUGGCAGAGUAAAAUGGGAUUGUGAAAGAGGAAGGGGCCACGAGGGGAAAAAGACUGGCAGGAGGGAGAGGAGGAGGACUGUAGGGGAGGACCACGAGCCGUUCUAGGGUCCCCGACUCAGAGGCUUUGCGCGGUCUCUGGAUACGGCUAGCAUCAAGAGACGGUUUGAAGGUAUUUGUGCCAACAUGACCCCCAGGAAAUUUGGAGGAAGCUUUCUACGUCCUUGGAGGCCGAAAUCCUGAGCGGGUGUUCGGUUGAAAGCAGACAGUUUCGAGUAGAUAGCGCUGGAAGAGACACAAAGAAUCUCUCUUGCUUCUUGAACACGAAACCACGUUUCUCUCUUUCUUUCCCCUCUACUUACUGCUCAGCAAUCCGCACUGAGUGAGCAGGAGCUCUGGUUCAAAUGAGUUAAUUUGCCUAAGACUGCAGUCACUCUUCUGAAGUCAAAUUACAUUUUAAAAGGGUUAUACACAUUGAAAUUUCGCUACAGAAAGCUAAACGCACGCUAGCAACAAUAAAAAAAAGUUAAGGAAUGCAUUCAGAAUUCCAAUUUAAUCCUCAAGUUAAAACUGCUCAUUGCACGCCCAAAUAGCACAUGCAAAUAGUACAAAUAAAUGUCUGUAUACA